rnacentral:rRNA from 1 species
AUUGAACGCUGGCGGCAGGCCUAACACAUGCAAGUCGAACGGUAACAGGAAGAAGCUUGCUUCUUUGCUGACGAGUGGCGGACGGGUGAGUAAUGUCUGGGAAACUGCCUGAUGGAGGGGGAUAACUACUGGAAACGGUAGCUAAUACCGCAUAACGUCGCAAAACCAAAGAGGGGGACCUUCGGGCCUCUUGCCAUCGGAUGUGCCCAGAUGGGAUUAGCUAGUAGGUGGGGUAACGGCUCACCUAGGCGACGAUCCCUAGCUGGUCUGAGAGGAUGACCAGCCACACUGGAACUGAGACACGGUCCAGACUCCUACGGGAGGCAGCAGUGGGGAAUAUUGCACAAUGGGCGCAAGCCUGAUGCAGCCAUGCCGCGUGUAUGAAGAAGGCCUUCGGGUUGUAAAGUACUUUCAGCGGGGAGGAAGGGAGUAAAGUUAAUACCUUGGCUCAUUGACGUUACCCGCAGAAGAAGCACCGGCUAACUCCGUG